AGAUAAAAAAAAUCAUUUGGUCUUCUCAGAGUGCAUGACAUUAUUACAGAUUAGAUUUCACAGUUUAUUUGCUUUCAUGGAAGGGAUCCAUCUUGGAUUGUUAACGGUCCCUAAUUGUGAGAGGUCCAGGCAAAGAAGGAGAGCUCUUGUGACUUAUUUUAGGCCUGCUCAUUUCCAUAGCCUUUGGUUGGUUGUGGAGGAAGACUUUUGAUUAAUUCCAUUUGUUUUUAUUACUUUUAAGUUGCUAAGCCUUACUUUGAAAAAGCUCAUGGUUUUCUAUUUUCUCCGCUGCUUCUUCCCUCUCCGCCUUCAAGGAGUUUGACCCGGAAGAAUUUUAUCACCUCCUGGAGGCUGCCGAAGGUCAUGCGAAAGUUGGACAAGGCAUCAAAACAGACAUUCCACGUUACAUUAUCAGUCAACUGGGACUCACCAAAGACCCUCUGGAGGAAAUUGUUCAGUUUGAUCAAGUUGACUGCCCUUCCCCAGCGGGCCCAGAGCAGCAAGAUGAACUUCCUGAGAACCAGACUUCUACCCCCAUUCCACGGAGGAAGCCCUGUGAAAGCGAUUUUGAAACUAUCAAGUUGAUCAGCAACGGGGCUUAUGGGGCUGUGUAUCUGGUGCGGCACAAGGAGACUCGCCAACGGUUUGCCAUCAAAAAGAUUAACAAGCAGAACUUGGUGUUACGGAACCAGAUCCAGCAAGUCUUUGUGGAGCGCGACAUCUUGACCUUUGCGGAGAACCCUUUUGUGGUCAGCAUGUUCUGCUCCUUCGAAACCAGGUGUCAUCUCUGCAUGGUCAUGGAGUAUGUGGAAGGUGAGGUUGCAGAAGGACGUAUCUUUUUUUUUUUAAUGUAGAAAUCUAGAUUAUAGAU